rnacentral:rRNA from 1 species
UACGUAGGUGGCAAGCGUUGUCCGGAAUUACUGGGCGUAAAGCGCACGUAGGCGGAUAUUUAAGUCAGGGGUGAAAUCCCAGAGCUCAACUCUGGAACUGCCUUUGAUACUGGGUAUCUUGAGUAUGGAAGAGGUAAGUGGAAUUGCGAGUGUAGAGGUGAAAUUCGUAGAUAUUCGCAGGAACACCAGUGGCGAAGGCGGCUUACUGGUCCAUUACUGACGCUGAGGUGCGAAAGCGUGGGGAGCAAACAGG